rnacentral:rRNA from 1 species
GACGAACGCUGGCGGCGUGCUUAACACAUGCAAGUCGAACGCUGAAGCUUGGUGCUUGCACUGGGUGGAUGAGUGGCGAACGGGUGAGUAAUACGUGAGUAACCUGCCCUUGACUCUGGGAUAAGCCUGGGAAACUGGGUCUAAUACUGGAUACGACAUGCCACUGCAUGGUGGUGUGUGGAAAGGGUUUUACUGGUUUUGGAUGGGUCACGGCCUAUCAGCCUGUUGGUGGGGUUAUGGCCUACCAAGGCGACGACGGGUAGCCGGCCUGAGAGGGUGACCGGCCACACUGGGACUGAGACACGGCCCAGACUCCUACGGGAGGCAGCAGUGGGGAAUAUUGCACAAUGGGCGGAAGCCUGAUGCAGCGACGCCGCGUGAGGGAUGACGGCCUUCGGGUUGUAAACCUCUUUCAGCACGGAAGAAGCGAGAGUGACGGUACGUGCAGAAGAAGCGCCGGCUAACUACGUG